rnacentral:rRNA from 1 species
GGGGGCUAGCGUUGCUCGGAAUUACUGGGCGUAAAGGGUGCGUAGGCGGGUCUUUAAGUCAGGGGUGAAAUCCUGGAGCUCAACUCCAGAACUGCCUUUGAUACUGAGGAUCUUGAGUUCGGGAGAGGUGAGUGGAACUGCGAGUGUAGAGGUGAAAUUCGUAGAUAUUCGCAAGAACACCAGUGGCGAAGGCGGCUCACUGGCCCGAUACUGACGCUGAGGCACGAAAGCGUGGGGAGCAAACAGG